rnacentral:rRNA from 1 species
GACAGAGGGUGCAAACGUUGUUCGGAAUUACUGGGCGUAAAGCGCGUGUAGGCGGCAGGGCAUGUCGGAUGUGAAAUCCCGUGGCUCAACCACGGAAGUGCACCCGAAACUGCCCAGCCUUGAGUCUCGGAGAGGAAGGCGGAAUGCUUGGUGUAGAGGUGAAAUUCGUAGAUAUCAAGCGGAACACCGGUGGCGAAGGCGGCCUUCUGGACGAUGACUGACGCUGAGACGCGAAAGCGUGGGGAGCGAACAGG